AUCUGGAAGGCAAAGAUUCCACUAAAAGUUAAAAUAUUCAUGUGGUAUCUUCGUAGAGGUGUUGUGCUAACCAAAGACAACCUUGCACGAUGCAACUGGCCAUGAAGUAAGAAGUGUUGUUUUUGUAUUCAUGACGAGACAAUCAAACACCUCUUUUUUCAAUGCAAGUUUGCACGUUCUACGUGGUCAGUCAUCCAAAUAGCGUCAGAUUUGUAUCCGCCCACAAGUGUUGCCAAUAUUUUUGGUCAUUGGUUGGAUGGUAUUUCAAAUAGAAUCAAAACGCUAAUAAGGGUGGGAGCGUAUGCCUUACUAUGGUCGCUUUGA
rnacentral:rRNA from 1 species